GGUGCAGGUCCUCGGUGGCAGAGGAGUGUGGGGAAGCGGUUGGAGAGUCUCCUUCCCUCUUGAUGGAAGCAGACAACAGGAGGGACUGGAAGAAGAAAACACAUGGCCCCAGACCAGGUUAGAAGCCCUGAGAGGCCUCAGCAUUACACCUGGGGCAAGCGGAAUAAAAAAAGGUCACUGGCGCUUUUUAAACAUGGACCAAAAAGCAGUAAAAUGUGUUUUGAAAAAAAAAAAUCCUGGCAUUAAAUCAUGACUUUUUGCCUGGCU